rnacentral:rRNA from 1 species
ACUCUAAGCGGUGGAUCACUCGGCUCAUGGGUCGAUGAAGAACGCAGCAAACUGUGCGUCAUCGUGUGAACUGCAGGACACAUGAACAUCGACAUUUUGAACGCAUAUCGCAGUCCAUGCUGUUAUGUACUUUAAUUAAUUUUAUAGUGCUGCUUGGACUACAUAUGGUUGAGGGUUGUAAGACUAUGCUAAUUAAGUUGCUUAUAAAUUUUUAUAAGCAUAUGGUAUAUUAUUGGAUAAAUAUAAUAAUUUUUAUUCAUAAUAUUAAAAAAUAAAUGAAAAACAUUAUCUCACAUUUGAAUGUGAAAAACGAAGAGAAAUAUUUUCUUUUUCAAUCAAAUAAUACUGAGAAAUGUCUAGCAUAAAAAAUUGAAAUAUUUUUCAUCUAGAAUUGUCUCUUAUUAAUGAUUCGGAAAUAGAAAAAUCUUGGUUAUGUUAUUAUUCUUCGUUGGUUCGUUAAAAAUGGAUAAAUAAAAACUUUGCAUACAAGAAUUAAUAAAAAUGUUAUAACGAAUUUAAUUAAAUGUUUUAUCAUUAUAUAUAAAGAAUUUAUGGCAAGAUAAAGUUAUAUACAACCUCAACUCAUAUGGGACUACCCCCUGAAUUUAAGCAUAUUAAUUAGGGGAGGAAAAGAAACUAACAAGGAUUUUCUUAGUAGCGGCGAGCGAAAAGAAAACAGUUCAGCACUAAGUCACUUUGUCUAUAUGGCAAAUGUGAGAUGCAGUGUAUGGAGCGUCAAUAUUCUAGUAUGAGAAAUUAACGAUUUAAGUCCUUCUUAAAUGAGGCCAUUUACCCAUAGAGGGUGCCAGGCCCGUAUAACGUUAAUGAUUACUAGAUGAUGUUUCCAAAGAGUCGUGUUGCUUGAUAGUGCAGCACUAAGUGGGUGGUAAACUCCAUCUAAAACUAAAUAUAACCAUGAGACCGAUAGUAAACAAGUACCGUGAGGGAAAGUUGAAAAGAACUCUGAAUAGAGAGUUAAACAGUACGUGAAACUGCUUAGAGGUUAAGCCCGAUGAACCUGAAUAUCCGUUAUGGAAAAUUCAUCAUUAAAAUUGUAAUAUUUAAAUAAUAUUAUGAGAAUAGUGUGCAUUUUUUCCAUAUAAGGACAUUGUAAUCUAUUAGCAUAUACCAAAUUUAUCAUAAAAUAUAACUUAUAGUUUAUUCCAAUUAAAUUGCUUGCAUUUUAACACAGAAUAAAUGUUAUUAAUUUGAUAAAGUGCUGAUAGAUUUAUAUGAUUACAGUGCGUUAAUUUUUCGGAAUUAUAUAAUGGCAUAAUUAUCAUUGAUUUUUGUGUUUAUUAUAUGCACUUGUAUGAUUAACAAUGCGAAAGAUUCAGGAUACCUUCGGGACCCGUCUUGAAACACGGACCAAGGAGUCUAACAUAUGUGCAAGUUAUUGGGAUAUAAACCUAAUAGCGUAAUUAACUUGACUAAUAAUGGGAUUAGUUUUUUAGCUAUUUAUAGCUAAUUAACACAAUCCCGGGGCGUUCUAUAUAGUUAUGUAUAAUGUAUAUUUAUAUUAUUUAUGCCUCUAACUGGAACGUACCUUGAGCAUAUAUGCUGUGACCCGAAAGAUGGUGAACUAUACUUGAUCAGGUUGAAGUCAGGGGAAACCCUGAUGGAAGACCGAAACAGUUCUGACGUGCAAAUCGAUUGUCAGAAUUGAGUAUAGGGGCGAAAGACCAAUCGAACCAUCUAGUAGCUGGUUCCUUCCGAAGUUUCCCUCAGGAUAGCUGGUGCAUUUUAAUAUUAUAUAAAAUAAUCUUAUCUGGUAAAGCGAAUGAUUAGAGGCCUUAGGGUCGAAACGAUCUUAACCUAUUCUCAAACUUUAAAUGGGUAAGAACCUUAACUUUCUUGAUAUGAAGUUCAAGGUUAUGAUAUAAUGUGCCCAGUGGGCCACUUUUGGUAAGCAGAACUGGCGCUGUGGGAUGAACCAAACGUAAUGUUACGGUGCCCAAAUUAACAACUCAUGCAGAUACCAUGAAAGGCGUUGGUUGCUUAAAACAGCAGGACGGUGAUCAUGGAAGUCGAAAUCCGCUAAGGAGUGUGUAACAACUCACCUGCCGAAGCAACUAGCCCUUAAAAUGGAUGGCGCUUAAGUUGUAUACCUAUACAUUACCGCUAAAGUAGAUGAUUUAUAUUACUUGUGAUAUAAAUUUUGAAACUUUAGUGAGUAGGAAGGUACAAUGGUAUGCGUAGAAGUGUUUGGCGUAAGCCUGCAUGGAGCUGCCAUUGGUACAGAUCUUGGUGGUAGUAGCAAAUAAUCGAAUGAGACCUUGGAGGACUGAAGUGGAGAAGGGUUUCGUGUGAACAGUGGUUGAUCACGAGUUAGUCGGUCCUAAGUUCAAGGCGAAAGCCGAAAAUUUUCAAGUAAAACAAAAAUGCCUAACUAUAUAAACAAAGCGAAUUAUAAUACACUUGAAUAAUUUUGAACGAAAGGGAAUACGGUUCCAAUUCCGUAACCUGUUGAGUAUCCGUUUGUUAUUAAAUAUGGGCCUCGUGCUCAUCCUGGCAACAGGAACGACCAUAAAGAAGCCGUCGAGAGAUAUCGGAAGAGUUUUCUUUUCUGUUUUAUAGCCGUACUACCAUGGAAGUCUUUCGCAGAGAGAUAUGGUAGAUGGGCUAGAAGAGCAUGACAUAUACUGUUGUGUCGAUAUUUUCUCCUCGGACCUUGAAAAUUUAUGGUGGGGACACGCAAACUUCUCAACAGGCCGUACCAAUAUCCGCAGCUGGUCUCCAAGGUGAAGAGUCUCUAGUCGAUAGAAUAAUGUAGGUAAGGGAAGUCGGCAAAUUAGAUCCGUAACUUCGGGAUAAGGAUUGGCUCUGAAGAUUGAGAUAGUCGGGCUUGAUUGGGAAACAAUAACAUGUUUAUGUGCUCGUUCUGGGUAAAUAGAGUUUCUAGCAUUUAUGUUAGUUACUUGUUCCCCGGAUAGUUUAGUUACGUAGCCAAUUGUGGAACUUUCUUGCUAAAAUUUUUAAGAAUACUAUUUGGGUUAAACCAAUUAGUUCUUAUUAAUUAUAACGAUUAUCAAUUAACAAUCAAUUCAGAACUGGCACGGACUUGGGGAAUCCGACUGUCUAAUUAAAACAAAGCAUUGUGAUGGCCCUAGCGGGUGUUGACACAAUGUGAUUUCUGCCCAGUGCUCU